CGAUGAAGAACCAGUGAAAUGUGAUAAGUAAUGUGAAUCGCAGAAUUCAGGAAUCAUCAAAUUUUUGAACGCCCCUUGCCCUUUUGGUAUUCCAAAAGGCCCCCGUUGAGGUCAGAAACCCUCUCCCAUUUAAUUUUUUAAUUAAAGUUUUUUGGUGGAUGUUGAGUGUUGCUGUGAUAACCACAGCUCACUUUAAAUAUAUAAGCCUUUAUCAUUUGAUUUGGAUUGACUUGAUGUGAUAAAUAUCAUUUUCAUCAAGAAGUGUCUAGUGGCAGCCAAUCAUAUUUUGUUAAGUAAGCUACUAAGUCUUGCAUGAGUCUUAAAAGCUCAUGGCAAACACUUUAUUUUAAGACCUCAAAUCAGGUGGGAUUACCUGCUGAACUUAAGCAUAUCAAUAAGCAGAGGAAAAGAAACUAACAAGGAUUCCCC
rnacentral:rRNA from 1 species